CUGCCUACGGGACGCAGCAGUAGGGAAUCUUCCACAAUGGACGAAAGUCUGAUGGAGCAACGCCGCGUGAGUGAAGAAGGGUUUCGGCUCGUAAAGCUCUGAUGGUAGUGAAGAAAGAUAGAGGUAGUAACUGGCCUUUAUUUGACGGUAAUUACUUAGAAAGUCACGGCUAACUACGUGCCAGCAGCCGCGGUAAUACGUAGGUGGCAAGCGUUGUCCGGAUUUAUUGGGCGUAAAGCGAGUGCAGGCGGCCUGCUAAGUCUGGAGUGAAAGGUACCGGCUCAACCGGUACAGGCUCUGGCAAC
rnacentral:rRNA from 1 species